CAGACACCACAAUGGCACCCACAUGAUUACAUCUACACCUUACAUAGUCCCUGGGCACACCGUGGGAAGGGCAUGGCUUUAGGUGGAUGCCACUACACAGAUAAUUCUGGGAAGCCCAUGGAUGGACAGGUCACUUCCAAGUUCUUGUUGCUCCAUGGAUUCUGAGUCCUCUGAAGAGGAGGUGAAUGCUCUCAGAGGUCGGUACUAUUAGCACCCUGGCUUCUCUGCAUCCCGAGCUGUGUUUUUCCAGGAAGUGACGACAGUAGAGCUCACCUGAUGGGUCAUGCUAGAUGUUCACAGAGGUAGGAAGCACUCUUGUUCUUCGGAUGAUGCAGGGCCAUUCUUACAGCCAUCCGGACACAGGCCAGGGUCUGGAUUGGGUCUGCAGGCUCUGUUUUGCCAACUCCUGUCCCGAGUGUUUCAAAAGCUGAUGAUGCAUGAUGGAGGGUUGGUGCAGGAUGAGCUUAACUGUCCCUCCGAAGACAAUCCUGAAAGUGUGAAGAUUGGAGCCAGGAUCUGAUUUCUUCAAAAACUGUAGUCUGGCUGAUCCACCCACACCCACCAUCGCCAGGCUAUUCAUUUU